UACGGGGGGGGCAAGCGUUGUUCGGAAUUACUGGGCGUAAAGGGCUCGUAGGUGGCCAACUAAGUCAGACGUGAAAUCCCUCGGCUUAACCGGGGAACUGCGUCUGAUACUGGAUGGCUUGAGUUUGGGAGAGGGACGCGGAAUUCCAGGUGUAGUGGUGAAAUGCGUAGAUAUCGGGAGGAACACCAGUGGCGAAGGCGGCUUUCUGGUCUGCUCUUGACGCUGAGGCGCGAAAGCUAGGGUAGCAAACGGG
rnacentral:rRNA from 1 species